GGGUGUAUGGUCUAGUGGUAUGAUUUCUGUUUUGCAAUGACUUCUUUGCACUUCCUACAGACGGUCCCCGGUUCGAUCCCGGGUGCAUCCA